GAGAAUGAAAGCCGUGUGUGUUUGUGUUUGCAAAAAUGCAGAUUUUUGGGUAAUAUAUACUCCAUCCGUCUCACAAAAACAUGAACAAAGAGAAAUGCACGGGUUUUAAGAAAUGUUAGUUGAGAGUUAAAGUAAGUGGAAAAUGGGUCCCACUUUAAAAGGUGUUGUGAGAGUAAUGAAUUAAUUAAGGAAAAGUAGUGGUGAGCCAUGAUGUACUAAAAUGGAAAGGUUCAUGUUUUUGUGAGACACCCCAAAAUGGAAAAACGUUCAUGUUUUUGUGAGACGGAGAGAGUACUAUAUAUAUUCACGUGUGUACCCAACUUCGGCGCCUUCGCAGCAUCGGCUGACUUGGCUCCAACACACACGAGCCAGCGCGGCCUUCUCGUUCCCCGCCACCGGCGCAGCACCCAGCGCGCCACCACUCACGAUUUGGAACAACAACUCCGGCGAGAUCAAGA
rnacentral:lncRNA from 1 species